GCAUUUUUGAACAUCAGCUGGUGCAGUUAUGAAUAUCUUCAUCAGUGGUAUUAUUACAAAAGAUUAGAAGAUUUAUGAUUGUCAGCAAGUGAAUUUUUUCACUUAAAUGAAGAAGUGUGUAAAUAUAAGAUUAGGAAGAAGACUAUGAAGAAGACGAGUGUGAUGCAUAAUGUUCUUAAUACUUAAAAAAGCGAGAUGAAAAGAAAAAUCAAAGACUAUAUUAUAUCUCAGCCAGUGUGAGAUGAAACGUUUGUAAGCUAUCAUAGAAGGCAAUUUAACAGCAAAAACUGCAAAAAAUCUAGCAAAGUGCUGUUAUCAAAAAAGAUUAGAGGAUUUAUGAUUGUCAGCGAGUGAUUUUCUUUACUUAAGUGAAGAAGUAUGUGAACUUAAGAUGAGGAAGACUAUGAAGAAAAUGAGUGUGAUGCAUAAUGUUUUUAAUACUUAAAUAAGCGAGAUGAAAAGAAAAAUCAAAGACUAUAUUAUAUCUCAGUCAGUGUGUGAUGAAACGUUUGUAAGCUAUCAUCAAAGGCAAUUUAACAGCAAAAACUACAAAAAACUUAGCAAAGUGAUAUUAUCAGAAACGAUUGGAGGCUUGAUGAUUGUCAACGAGUGAUUUUGUUUACUUAAGUGAAGAAAUAUGUAAACAUAAGAUGAGGAAGAAGACUAGGAUGAUGCAUAAUGUUCUUAAUACUUCAAUAAGCAAGAUGAAAAGAAAAGUGUGUGAUAAAACGUCUGUAAGCUAUCAUCAAAGGCAAUUUAACAGCAAAAACUACAAAAAAUCUGGGAAAGGAACACAACCGGAGGCAGGCAAAGGGCACCUACAGGCACAUGCGAUGGAAGGAAAUAUUAAAAUUUGUGACAGGACAUUUAGAAAAAUAAUGAGUGUUGUCAGAUUAGGAAGAAGACUAUGAAGAAGACGAGUGUGAUGCAUAAUGUUCUUAAUACUUAAAUAAGCG